AUUUCUUAGAUCAACUUGAACCUAAGAUCCUCAAAGCAAGAUUCCUCUCUGGAUUGAAAGAAAUGACCAACAAAACAUUAUAUGGCUGGUCAAUCUAGGCUCUGUCGAAAAUAUAUAGCAAACUUCACUGCCAAUUCCUGUCAUUGCAUGUUUCGGUUGAACACCGGUCAUGAAGACACUAAAACUGGUGUUUGAUUUUCUCCCGAACUCUCUAAACUACGGGUUUUCUGCUCUCUUUGACCUUCAAUGCACUGUUGAGUCGAUCUACCCUCGAGUUUUUUAGUCGAGUGGCUGGACAAGAAGGAUCGACUAAUCAGUUUUUAAGCAUCUGACAAAAGCUGUGACCACCCCCACGCUGUUCAUGUAAAUCAAGUCCAAUCGACCAAACUUCACCUGUGAAUUCUUCCACUCAGAUCCGAUUAAAUCAAGUCCAUAUGGUGAUAAGAAGCUGAUUGUGCUGAAUAAUCAUCAGGAAUCAUUUACUCCCAGAUU
rnacentral:lncRNA from 1 species